GGGCCAGUGGCACAGUUGGCUAGCGCGCCACCUUGACAUGGUGGAGGUCACAGGUUCGAGUCCUGUCUGGCCCACCA
rnacentral:tRNA from 1 species